rnacentral:rRNA from 1 species
AGUGAACGCUGGCGGUAGGCCUAACACAUGCAAGUCGAACGGCAGCACAGUAAGAGCUUGCUCUUACGGGUGGCGAGUGGCGGACGGGGGAGGAAUACAUCGGAAUCUACUUUUUCGUGGGGGAUAACGUAGGGAAACUUACGCUAAUACCGCAUACGACCUACGGGUGAAAGCAGGGGAUCUUCGGACCUUGCGCGAUUGAAUGAGCCGAUGUCGGAUUAGCUAGUUGGCGGGGUAAAGGCCCACCAAGGCGACGAUCCGUAGCUGGUCUGAGAGGAUGAUCAGCCACACUGGAACUGAGACACGGUCCAGACUCCUACGGGAGGCAGCAGUGGGGAAUAUUGGACAAUGGGCGCAAGCCUGAUCCAGCCAUACCGCGUGGGUGAAGAAGGCCUUCGGGUUGUAAAGCCCUUUUGGUGGGAAAGAAAAGCAGCAGGUUAAUACCCCGCUGUUCUGACGGUACCCAAAGAAUAAGCACCGGCUAACUUCGUG